UACGUAGGGGGCAAGCGUUGUCCGGAAUCAUUGGGCGUAAAGAGCGUGUAGGCGGCUUGGUAAGUCCGCUGUGAAAGUCCAGGGCUCAACCCUGGAAUGCCGGUGGAAACUGUCAAGCUUGAGUCCGGAAGAGGCGAGUGGAAUUCCUGGUGUAGCGGUGAAAUGCGCAGAUAUCAGGAGGAACACCAAUGGCGAAGGCAGCUCGCUGGGACGGUACUGACGCUGAGACGCGAAAGCGUGGGAGCAAACAGG
rnacentral:rRNA from 1 species